GACGAACGCUGGCGGCGUGCUUAACACAUGCAAGUCGAACGAAGUGGCGAACGGGUGAGUAACGCGUAAUCAACCUGCCCUUCCGAGGGGGACAACAGUUGGAAACGACUGCUAAUACCGAAUACUGAAGGAGGGGAUUGCGUCUGAUUAGGUGGUUGGAGGGGUAAAGGCCCACCAAGGCGAUGAUCAGUAGCCGGUAUGAGAGGAUUAACGGCCACAGUGGGACUGAGACACGGCGCAGACUCCUACGGGAGGCAGCAGGGGGGAAUCUUCCGCAAUGGACGAAAGUCUGACGGAGCAACGCCGCGUGAGUGAUGACGGCCUUCGGGUUGUAAAGCUCUGUUAAUCGGGACGCGGUACCGGAAUAGAAAGCCACGGCUAACUACGUGCCAGCAGCCGCGGUAAUUC
rnacentral:rRNA from 1 species